CUUGCUUCCUCCAUCGAAAGCUGGUUGUUGCCAUGAAAGGCUGACAGAGUUCUUUGAAAUAUCAGUGAUACGGACGUUUCUUGGAGGCUCUGUGGUAAUAAGAGAAAGCAGGUGAUAGCCUAUAACUGGACUGCCUCCAUUGGACACUGGUUCAUGCCAGCCCACAGUGAUGCUUUCUCGAGUAACGUUAGUGACCCAUGGUGUAGAUGGUGGUCCAGGUGUUGCUACAAAAGAGAGAAAUCCCUUAGGUUAAUACAGACACUUAAAACAUUUAUGUAAAUGAGAACCUGGGAUCUUUAAAAAGUUUGCAACUUACUGUAUGGUAGUUUGACAACCACACAUGCUGAAUCUAUGUGAUCACUGAUGCCGAAGCGGUUUUCUGCCUUGAUGCGGAAUUGGUAUUCUUCUCCUGUGUGCUUCAACGACAUAGUGUACAAUUCUGCUUCCACCAUCGUGUUCUGGCUUCAACCAGCUGGUACACCAACACCAAACUCAUUCUCUCCAGAGACUCGGAAGUAGUAAAUUGCCCCUUCUUGUAAGUUGGUGAUUUUGUAG